UACGAAGGGGGCUAGCGUUGCUCGGAAUUACUGGGCGUAAAGGGCGCGUAGGCGGAUGUCUUAGUCAGAGGUGAAAGCCCAGGGCUCAACCUUGGAAAUGCCUUUGAUACUGGACAUCUUGAGUAUGGGAGAGGUGAGUGGAACUCCGAGUGUAGAGGUGAAAUUCGUAGAUAUUCGGAAGAACACCAGUGGCGAAGGCGACUCACUGGCCCAUUACUGACGCUGAGGCGCGAAAGCGUGGGGAGCAAACAGG
rnacentral:rRNA from 1 species